UGCAGUGUCCAUAUAGCACACCCGCAGCAGCAGCAGCAGCAACAGCUGCUGUCAUGUCGGUCGGUCGGUCGGUGAUUUUUAUACGAAUUUAUUGUAUAAAUAUUUCAGUGAAAUCGCCGCGGAUUGCCGACCACUGGCAAAUCGCAGUCAUCGCCGCCGCCGCCGCCGCCGUCUCUAUCGGCGAAAUCGUUAGUGCCAGCAUACAGCUAUAGGCUCUCCGUUUGGGCCCAGUGCGCGGCGGCGAGAUCGUUCACCGCGGACCGCACGUGGCACCGCGCGGUGCAAUAACCUGCAGCACUCUGGCGCGCGCUGAUAGCCGACCGGCGCGCCGCCCGACGAGCGCCGCGCGUGCAUCAUCAGUGCAACCGCUGCAACGCGACCGCGAUUGCAAUAACUUCCAGCCGGGCCCGGUCACGUUACUAUCACGUCGGACCGGCGUCGUUGGUGUAUAUCACAUACUUUAUUACAUUUCACGUUUCGCCGUCACCGCCGCCGUUCAUUCAAAAAUAAAACAACAAUUUAUUGCUGUUGUUGUUGUUGUUGUUGUUGUCGUUUUGUCGACGGUUAUUUUUCAUUCCGCAUCGUAACGGUACAAUUAAUAUUGUUUUAUUUUAUAUUAUAAUAUAUUAUUAUUAUCGUACAACAAUACGACGUCGCGAACACUAUAUAGUACAAUAAUUAUCAUAACACGCGUACAACGGUUGUAAUAUCAUAGCAACACUCGCGAUAAACACCCGCGCGCCGAUGGCAGACACCUAUCGUGUCGUGGUUCGCUUCUCGGCGAGACGCCGCCGAUUUAUACUUCCAAUCACGAUAGUAUUGUAUCACUGCAUCGUUGCCUGUUACGUCAUGUCUGUCGUCGUCUCGUCGGUUUUCGAAAUGAUCGCAACGCGAAACAACGCACGCUUGCCGGGUGGCGAAAAAAAUUAGGAAAAAAAACAAAACACAAAAACAGCAAAAAAUCCGAGAGACUUUGGACUUUGGAGACAGCGCGGUCGCGGCGUCAACACGGCAAUAGCGGCAGCUGCGGCGGUCCUCGUAUCGUAAUUACCGCGGUCGACGUUCGCCGCGUACCGCGGUAUCAGCUGUCCGCCGACAAGUCCGUUCCGACAUAUCACAGGCGAGACGAGGCACGACAAAUUAUCCCAGUCCGCACACGAACAUACCUGACCGUCCACUGCCCACCUACCUAACUGAAAUCUUACGUCAAUCAACACUAUCGCCUAGGUGGUGUGCCUAGGAGAUUUCUACGACUGGAAAUAAAAAUCCGUGAUUACAGCGCCGUGUUUUAAAAAUCAACACAGACUACCCACGGGCCGAGACAAUACUAUCAUCGGUGAACAACAAACGUGCAGACUUACCAAUCAGCAGGCUGUGGCGCGGCGGACGAUUCCGUCAUACGUUCAUGGCAUCGAGGUGGCAGCCCCCGGUCGUUGCGUUUUUUUUCAGGUCUGCGCAAGCACACACAUAGACACACAGAGACAGAGAGGACGAAUUGGAAAUUGUCGUCUAGAUUGAACUUUGAGGAGGCCAAUUUUCAAUGUCUCAAUAAUUUCCAGUGAAUAUAAUACACAGAAGACUGCAAGAAGACUGCAAACACAAAAUUAGACAAUAUCGCGGUACUCAAAAACGAUUAUGUACAGUAAUCGGUUGCUAAAAACCGCUUGCUACAAUAUAUUUCUUCAAAGACUGUCGUCGAUCGAACAAUAAUUAAUUAAUUAAUUAAUUAUCUGGUGCCCCUUCAAAUACAUACAAAACGUUCAGCGUGUUUCUGAUCUAUAAACUAGGACAAGGUGCACCGUGAAACUUUCCGAGCACGCCUUCUGCCCAAAUAAGUGUUAAUCGGAAAUAACAACAAUAAUAAUAAUAAAAAAAAAACAUCGUCGCAAAACAAAUAAGAAACUCAUUUUUCCCCGUGGAGCGUAAAGAAAAACGACUGACAACCGAAGAUAAUUUUAAGAAAAAUGCCAUCAAGCGUGAUGGUUUUUAUCGAGCUCGGAUCAAAAUCAAUACGUUGAACAUGAUAACAAAUUUAUCUGAUCACGCAGGAGUAGCGACGAUGUUUGCAUACAACACACAUUGUGUUGGAAUUACGUCGUGAUACCACGUAUAUGGUCGUGGUCCUAUACAGCAGAUAAACAACCUAGGAAUAGACGCAGAGAAGCAAUCGAUGGAGGGUACUCACGUGAUGAACAAGAAGGACAUUUUCCAUUUAACCGUUCGACAAAAAUAGUAUAUAAGUUAACGUUUUAUAUCAUUAUGUUUUUACUGUUUUUAUUAAUUGUUUUGUGUUUUUAUAACUCUAAUAUAUUAUGACUCGGGAACAAUAUUACUUAUUAGGGAACCCGCACUACUUUAGACGUAUAGGUAUAAACUAUACGUCACUCAAGCCCCACCCGCGGGUGAAAUUUCGACUUUCCCGGCAAACUGCGGGCAGAGCAGGAAUCACAAAGAGCUGAUAAAAAAUGUACAGGAAUUAUUGAGUAGUAGGUAUACUGGGCGUCGUUCAAAACCGGCAACCACACACUCUCAAAAAAAAUGGUCACCACCUGCACCUCGCGGGAGUGGGCAUAACGAGCAAAGCUCAAACCCAAAAGAAAAACUCUCGUGUGCCGAAGCCACAGCGAACACACCACCAUCCUCUGCAAAUCGUCACCAAUUUCCUUAACGAGUUAAAAUUAGUCUUAAGCCCCCUCCUAGCUGCUCUAACAUCCCUAAUAAACAAAAUCCCACUUGCCAUCACUUCCACUCCUUAAUAAAUUAUCACAUAUCUUCUAAUCAUCCAUACCAUACUUAAUAGAUAAAUUCUUAGUAAGUGGUGCGGUUAUGAUGACGACCGCCGAGUAUACUCAAUUAGUAUAUACUACUCAAAAUAUUAUUCGAGCAACCAAUUUUGCAAAAUGCUAGGUUUUUAUAAUAUAGUAAAAUCAAAAUGUCUCAUGUGCGCUUACAUAUUGUGCCAUAGCCCAUACGUCCUACCGGGGAAAAUCUAAAAAAUCCUUUGGGAAAAUUUUGUCGACUAUUUAGUAAUUAGGUUAGAGUAGUACUUAAAUGAAACGCUGACUUUAUAUAAAAUAAAUUGUAUUGUGGCUUAUUAAAUGGGGAAAAGGGUAGUUUAUAAUUGGCUUUUUUUAACUAACAACUUCCUAGUAAGAGUUUGCAUUAUUGAUGUUGUUCAUUUUAUUUUAUUUUGUUCAUUGAUAGUUUUAUAUGCUAUAAUUCAAAUAAUUAAAAAUAUGAAUCACAUCAUCAUUCGAAUUUUUUAUAGUAUUAGGUAUAUUAUGUUAUUCGAAUAAUCGAAUAGGUAUACUGCUUACUGCUUACUGUUCUUUGUACUGUCAAUCUAACAUAUUUGUAAUGUAAAUAAUAUUAUGUAAUAUUAUAUUUUGAUAAGUCAUUUUUUCUUUUUCAUACAAAAUAAAUACCUAAAUAUUAUGAAAAGAAAAGUUAUACGGGUUGUCGAGCUAUGAAAGUGUAUCAUUAAAUAAAUUAUAUAAAUGUAUACAUUAUUGUCAAUCGUCAACUAUCCUCUAACUCUAUAUUGGUAUAUAAUUAUUAGCCAAUAGGUAAUCGCAUUAGGAUAAAUGCUUUUAUUCCCUACAAAUCCUGAAUAUAUUUUAAAUAUAUUUUUAAUAUUUUUUUGCACUAACAAAAUGUACUAAAUUAUUUUUAUUUUUUAUACUUUCAAUGUGAAUUCUAAUAUAAAUUUAGUAUAAAUGGUAAUAUACAUUUUAAUAGAUUGUAAAAAAUGUUCACAGACAGAACUGAUCGUUUUGAACUUCUUUACGCUGGAAAAACAAUUCUGCACCACAGAAGUCAACUAACGCAAGUCAAUUUUUUGAAAUUUUGAGUUAGUUAUAUAAUCAGAAUAUGCUUUGAUUUUUUUAAAGGUAUUAAAACGUAAGUCCUAUUUACAAUAAAUACAUAGAUAGCAAGAAGUAUACCAACUUAAGUCCUAAACUAUGAUAGGAGUAUAGAAACGUAUGUCCAGCGGUUAAAUAAGAAAAGUAAUACAAAAUAAUAUUUUUGAAAUAUACAAUUAUUAAAAGUCCAUUGCAACAAAUAUUUUUGUUUUGUGUCUGCUGUAAAAUUUGCUUUUUGUGACUUGCGUUACUCGACUUCUGUGGUACAGAAUUAUAUCCAUUAUCCAUACAUUAUUAUUUUUUUUUUCUUAUAGGUUUAGAUCAUAUAUUUAUUUACCUGUACCUACAUAUAAUAUAGUAACUAUAACUGUUAUAGUUUGUUUAAUUGAUAUAAAAAUCAUGUCAAAGUACGUACAAAUCUUAAAAUAAAGUUUCAAAUUCAAAUUUUAGAUUUUAUGUUUUUAAAUUAUGAAAAUAUAUUUACCUACUUACUUAUAUAUAAUAUAUUUACUUACUUGUUAAGUCAUAAUA